rnacentral:rRNA from 1 species
AUUGAACGCUGGCGGCAUGCCUUACACAUGCAAGUCGAACGGUAACGCGGGGCAACCUGGCGACGAGUGGCGAACGGGUGAGUAAUAUAUCGGAACGUGCCCAGUAGUGGGGGAUAGCCCGGCGAAAGCCGGAUUAAUACCGCAUGAGACCUGAGGGUGAAAGCGGGGGAUCGCAAGACCUCGCGCUAUUGGAGCGGCCGAUAUCAGAUUAGCUAGUUGGUGGGGUAAAGGCCUACCAAGGCAACGAUCUGUAGUUGGUCUGAGAGGACGACCAGCCACACUGGGACUGAGACACGGCCCAGACUCCUACGGGAGGCAGCAGUGGGGAAUUUUGGACAAUGGGCGCAAGCCUGAUCCAGCAAUGCCGCGUGCAGGAAGAAGGCCUUCGGGUUGUAAACUGCUUUUGUCAGGGAAGAAAUCUUCUGGGUUAAUACCUCGGGAGGAUGACGGUACCUGAAGAACAAGCACCGGCUAACUACGUGCCAGCAGCCGCGGUAAUACGUAGGGUGCGAGCGUUAAUCGGAAUUACUGGGCGUAAAGCGUGAGCAGGCGGCUUUGCAAGACAGAUGUGAAAUCCCCGGGCUCAACCUGGGAACUGCAUUUGUGACUGCAAGGCUAGAGUACGGCAGAGGGGGAUGGAAUUCCGCGUGUAGCAGUGAAAUGCGUAGAUAUGCGGAGGAACACCAAUGGCGAAGGCAAUCCCCUGGGCCUGUACUGACGCUCAUGCACGAAAGCGUGGGGAGCAAACAGG